UACGAAGGGGGCUAGCGUUGUUCGGAUUUACUGGGCGUAAAGCGCACGUAGGCGGAUCGUUAAGUCGGGGGUGAAAUCCUGGAGCUCAACUCCAGAACUGCCUUCGAUACUGGCGAUCUUGAGUCCGGAAGAGGUGAGUGGAACUCCUAGUGUAGAGGUGGAAUUCGUAGAUAUUAGGAAGAACACCAGUGGCGAAGGCGGCUCACUGGUCCGGUACUGACGCUGAGGAGCGAAAGCCAGGGGAGCAAACGGG
rnacentral:rRNA from 1 species